rnacentral:rRNA from 1 species
UACGUAGGGUGCAAGCGUUAAUCGGAAUUACUGGGCGUAAAGCGUGCGCAGGCGGUUUUGUAAGUCUGUCGUGAAAUCCCCGGGCUCAACCUGGGAAUUGCGAUGGAGACUGCAAGGCUAGAAUCUGGCAGAGGGGGGUAGAAUUCCACGUGUAGCAGUGAAAUGCGUAGAGAUGUGGAGGAACACCGAUGGCGAAGGCAGCCCCCUGGGUCAAGAUUGACGCUUAUGCACGAAAGCGUGGGGAGCAAACAGG